GAUGAACGCUGGCGGCGUGCCUAAUACAUGCAAGUCGAGCGAACAGACGAGGAGCUUGCUCCUCUGACGUUAGCGGCGGACGGGUGAGUAACACGUGGAUAACCUACCUAUAAGACUGGGAUAACUUCGGGAAACCGGAGCUAAUACCGGAUAAUAUAUUGAACCGCAUGGUUCAAUAGUUCAAGACGGUUUUGCUGUCACUUAUAGAUGGAUCCGCGCCGCAUUAGCUAGUUGGUAAGGUAACGGCUUACCAAGGCAACGAUGCGUAGCCGACCGGAGAGGGUGAUAGGCCACACUGGAACUGAGACACGGUCCAGACCCCUACGGGAGGCAGCAGUAGGGAAUCUUCCGAAAUGGGCGAAAGCCUGACGGAGCAACGCCGCGUGAGUGAUGAAGGUCUUCGGAUCGUAAAACUCUGUUAUUAGGGAAGAACAAAUGUGUAAGUAACUAUGCACGUCUUGACGGUACCUAAUCAGAAAGCCACGGCUAACUACGU
rnacentral:rRNA from 1 species